GUUGUUUACUUCUUUACAAACGGUUGACAAAGAAUAGGGAAGAUGGAGCCUCCAUCUUGAACAAGGCUGGUCAACAGAUAAUGAAAAUUAGUGAAAAGCACCACAUGAGAAUCAGGGCAAAAUAACUAGAUUCUGCAAUGAUUAUAUAUGAAUAUAUGCCUCUUGGAUGUGUACAGAGCCUGGGUGGAGACAACUGAACCAGGCUAAUGCUGAUCCAAUAACAGGAAUCCAAUGAAGAUGGAGUCUUGCUAUGUCACACUCAGGCUGGAGUCCAGUGGCAUAGUGGCACAAUCUUGGCUCAUUGAAACCUUCAUCUCCUGGAUUCAAAUAAUUCUCUUGCAUCAGCCUCCU
rnacentral:lncRNA from 13 species